UUGACCUCGAAUCAGGUGA
rnacentral:rRNA from 3 species